rnacentral:rRNA from 1 species
CAUGCAAGUCGAACGAAGUAGCAAUACUUAGUGGCAGACGGGUGAGUAACAUGUAGGUAUCUGCCCUUUGGCCUGGAAUAACACGAGGAAACUUGUGCUAAUACCGGAUAAGUCUUUACGGAGAAAGCUUUAUGCACCAUUGGAUGAGCCUGCACUUGAUUAGUUUGUUGGUGGGGUAAUGGCCUACCAAGACUGUGAUCAAUAGCUGAUUUGAGAGGAUGAUCAGCCACAUUGGGACUGAGACACGGCCCAAACUCCUACGGGAGGCAGCAGUGGGGAAUCUUGCACAAUGGAGGAAACUCUGAUGCAGCGAUGCCGCGUGAGUGAAGAAGGCCCUUGGGUUGUAAAGCUCUUUCGUCGGGGAAGAAAAUGACUGUACCCGAAUAAGAAGGUCCGGCUAACUUCGUGCCAGCAGCCGCGGUAAUACGAAGGGACCUAGCGUAGUUCGGAAUUACUGGGCUUAAAGAGUUCGUAGGUGGUUGAAAAAGUUAGUGGUGAAAUCCCAGAGCUUAACUCUGGAACUGCCAUUAAAACUUUUCAGCUAGAGUAUGAUAGAGGAAAGCAGAUUUUCUAGUGGUAGAGGGUGAAAUUCGUAAGAUAUUAGAAAGAAUACCAAUUGCGAAGGCAGCUUUCUGGAUCAUUACUGACACUGAGGAACGAAAGCAUGGGUAGCGAAGA